rnacentral:rRNA from 5 species
CCUGGCGGCAGUAGCGCGGUGGUCCCACCUGACCCCAUGCCGAACUCAGAAGUGAAACGCCGUAGCGCCGAUGGUAGUGUGGGGUCUCCCCAUGCGAGAG